rnacentral:rRNA from 1 species
UACAGAGGUCCCGAGCGUUGUUCGGAUUCACUGGGCGUAAAGGGUGCGUAGGUGGUUGUGCAAGUCUGAUGUGAAAUCUCCGGGCUUAACCCGGAAAUAGCAUUGGAAACUGCAUGGCUAGAGGGUUGGAGGGGGGACUGGAAUACUUGGUGUAGCAGUGAAAUGCGUAGAUAUCCAGUGGAACACCAGUGGCGAAGGCGAGUCCCUGGACAACACCUGACACUGAGGCACGAAAGCUAGGGGAGCAAACAGG